UAGAUAUUUAUUAUGUCCAGGCCACGGUGGGGAGCUGGACGACAGCAGCAGUCAGAGAGCAGGUUGAACACCGUUUAAACGUAGCGGGGUUCGGGGUUCUGAUCCUUUUUCGGCCCGGCGGCUGCCUGGAGAGGUUGCCUACCUCGGCUGGAGGUAAACAGCACUCUGGAUAUCGCUGCACGGGAGAGGCGAGAGGAAACCACUGGAAUGAGUCAGAAAUAAUAAUAAAAAAAGACAGCUAAAGGCUAACUAAUAAAAAGGAGGGAGCGACAUCGCUGAAGGAGCUGCGGAGCAGAACCCGGACCGGACAGUGACCCCCGCGGAGGAGAGCCAUUAUCAGCAGACAGCUAUGGCAGAUGCAGAGCUGGACUUCCAGACCGGUGAUGCCGGGGCGUCUGCCACCUACCCCAUGCAGUGCUCUGCCCUGCGCAAAAACGGCUUUGUGGUGCUCAAAGGUCGACCCUGCAAGAUUGUAGAGAUGUCCACCUCCAAGACCGGCAAGCACGGUCACGCUAAGGUUCACCUGGUUGGUAUUGACAUCUUCUCUGGUAAGAAGUAUGAAGAUAUUUGUCCCUCCACCCAUAACAUGGACGUCCCCAACAUUAAAAGAAUGGAUUACCAGCUGAUUGGGAUCCAGGAUGGCUACCUCUCCCUGCUCCAGGACAGCGGGGAGGUGAGAGAGGACCUAAAACUUCCCGAGGGAGACCUGGGAAAAGAAGUCGAGAGCAGACAUGAAGCUGGAGAGGAGAUUCUGAUCACCGUUCUAAAUGCAAUGGAUGAGGAAGCUGCAGUCGGUAUAAAAGCCUUGGGUAAAUAAGCCACAGCAGCAUGUGCCCUGCCGAUGCAGAGUUGCAAGGGGAAGGCAACUCCAGUCAUCAAGAUCCAAAGCUGUAGCUGAGAUGCAAUCGAGAUGCACUGGACCUGGAGGAAAAGGAGGGGCUAAUGCAUCGUCCGUGCUAGUCUCCCUCCCUUUUCUAUCUCUCUUUCUUUUUCCAUCCUUGGUUUCCAUCUCUCCUUCGGUUCAACUACACAAUUUGAAUAUCUGGAUGCAAUUAAAAAUGCAUUAUUUAUGUACAUGCACCUAGUCUGUGUCCACAUAAGAGUCCCAAAAAGGUUUUGAGUCGAUCCACAAAUGUUGUGUAGCUAAUCCUCCUGCAGCCAUAAGCUGUAAUCACACUUUUGUUUGAUAUACUCCUGAUUAAUCAAGGGCUUCGUCUCCAGAUCUACAUCGUUGUGUUGCGGUCUGCCAAAAAGAAAAAGGAUAUGUCAGAGAGAAAGAUCAUGAGAACAAAAAAAAGGCACGUUUUUUUCCUGCCAGUGUCCAGAGCUUUUAUUGAGGAGACUCCGUCCAGGAACCUUCACAGCUGUCUGAAGAAAUGAUUUAAGUGUUUCUUAUUGUGCUCCCAGAUUCUGAUCUAGGAUCUGUGGGGGAUCUCUGGCAGUUUGUUUUCGUCUCUUGUGUUUCGUACAGCCAGUCCACACUGUGCAGGAUCUCUACAACACAAAAAAAAGCUAAAAGUAAUAAAAAAAAAAAUAAAGAUGAUGCAAACUGA